UGAUUCUUCACUUUCCCUAUUCUGUAGUCUUCUCGGCUUCUCCGUUCUUCUUUUCUCCACUCAUUCCCUUUCUCAUUUCCUUAUUUUCUCUUCUCACACAAAAAUUGGUUUUGCUGGAUAGCUCUCAUCAGCUUGCUCUCUUGAUCCGCUGUAUUGAGGUUGCUCCUCCUCACCUCAAGCCACCACUGGAGCUGGUGCUGCCACAAGGUGACCAUCGACGGCGGCUGGUUUGGCCCCUCGUACGCCUCCUCCGCCUCCUAGGCUGGUAAAUGGGGCUGGAUUUAUGAUGGCGUCUGUGCAGUGAUUUUGUCACGGAUUUCGUCUCCUGCAGGCCCGCAGCCUCUUGGAUCCAGCUUCAGUAUGAGGGAGCUUGAGACAUUUUCUUCCCCAAGCGCGCAAACCAAACGCAUCGCCGCUAUUUCUGCGCGAGGCAGCUCAACACACCAUUCACAUCCUCUACUGCGGCAACAUUCUUCAAUUCGAACUGCAGAAUGGAGCUGUGGCAUUAAGACAGAAACCCACUAUCGAAUUUGAGUUGGUACUUACUUGAGGUA